UUACUCUUCACCUCAGACAGAACGAAAGUAAACGAUCUUAAAGCACAGAUUUCAGCAGGAACCCAGGAAACAGACGAAUGAAUCACCAGGCCCCAAGGACCCUCAGGAGGAAAAAUUGGGCCACUCUGACCAGAUCAUGCUUCUACCUUCCUUCCCACCCUGGUGAUUCAGAGAUGCAUCAGAACGACUCCUAGGCAGAGGAGCUCAUGCACUAGCUCUGAGAAGCGACAGCAGCGGCAGUGCCUGUUUGUGGUCGAGGACGGGGUGCACUUGGCGUGAACAGAAUCCUCCAGACAGUUCACCAAUGCCCUGCUCAGCCAUCCAUCCCCCAGGCCCUGCCCCAAGGGCCCAAUCCAACGUGAGCCAGCCUGGUUUCCUUGACACUUCAGCGGUCUCGGCAUCCACACCAUAGCAAAUGGAACAUGUAUUUUUAAUGAAUGAGACAAGCCCCAUGCUUUUAAUAGGGCAAAAGGGGGAAACACUUAGCCACAGACAUGGAAUGGGCUUUACUCUCCCGGCAGUUCUUCCAGAGACAAGAGGGUGAGAGGCAAUCAAAGCAAAAGAGAGAGGAAACCCAUCCUGCAUCACCCCAUGCAGCCUUCAGCUGUCCUCAGACUCUGCACCUGAGCCCCUGGGAGCCCGGAUAAAGGAUGCAGAAGGCACGACAGAGGCCCAGGGCACCCACGGAAAGAACAGCACUCUGGGUGCCCAUCACGGCACAAUCGGAUCCACCAUUUAACUUCUCUGAAAUUGUUUCCCUACAAAAUAAACACGCCCUGCCUGCUUCAUUGGAUGGCUGUGAAGGACAAAUGGGAUCAGAACCAGGAGAGGGUCAGGCAAGCCCAAUGCUCCCUUCCGUGGAAAGGUGAGCCCUCGGAGGCCAGGGCAUAGGAAAGGCUAGGAGGGCCCCGAGGAGGUGAGUGGGCCCACCUCCCCCUCCCACCCAGGCUGCUCCUGCCACAGGCUGAAGUGCCCCCCACAGAGAUCAAAGGUUGACGUCCUAACCCCCAGCACCUCAGAAUGUGGCUGAAGUCUUUAAACAAGUAAUCAAGGUCAUCGAGGUCAAGUAAUCAAGAAGUGCAAACAGGGUCCUGGGGGCGGGCCCCAACCCAAUAUGCCAGUGUCCUCAUAAGGAGAGGAGGCUAGGGCACGGAUGCACACAGAGGGAAGACCUGUGAAAGGCUCAGAAGAAGCCAAGGGGGGAGGCCUUAGGAGAAACCAACUUGCCGACACCGCCACCCCUGACCUCCAGCCUCCAGACCUGGGAGGAAAUGUAUUUCUGUUGUUUAAGCUCCCUGUCUGUGACACUUUGUAACAGUCACCCUGGGAACAGAUACAGACCUGACCUUCUGGCCCCAGGUGCUGUCCCACAGCACUGCCGACUCUGCUAAGCACUCAGGAUGCCUGGUCACGGCGUGCUCCCAUCAGUCAGGCCAGGACGCUCUCAGUGAAAGACGCCCACUGCAGGGGUGAUUUCUGUCCCACCACUAAGACAUCCGGGAGAGUGUGUCCUGUGUAUCUCAGACAAGGUGCCAAAGGGGGUCUCAGAUAUGUGUCCUCGUGUAGCUGUCAGUAUCAUCUGGGGAGACUGAUCAAAAUGCAGACUCCUAAAACAAAACACACAGCUACCAACUGGUGUAAUCCAACUCCUGGUCAUAUACCCGGAGAAAACCAUAAUUUCAAAAGGUACAUGCACCCCAAUGUUCACAGCGGCAUUAUUUACAAUAGCCAAGACAUGGACACGACCUGAAUGUCCAUCAACAGAGGAAUGGAGAAAGA